GACGAACGCUGGCGGCGUGCCUAAUACAUGCAAGUUGAGCGCUGAAGGUUGGUACUUGUACCAACUGGAUGAGCAGCGAACGGGUGAGUAACGCGUGGGGAAUCUGCCUUUGAGCGGGGGACAACAUUUGGAAACGAAUGCUAAUACCGCAUAAAAACUUUAAACACAAGUUUUAAGUUUGAAAGAUGCAAUUGCAUCACUCAAAGAUGAUCCCGCGUUGUAUUAGCUAGUUGGUGAGGUAAAGGCUCACCAAGGCGAUGAUACAUAGCCGACCUGAGAGGGGGAUCGGCCACAUUGGGACUGAGACACGGCCCAAACUCCUACGGGAGGCAGCAGUAGGGAAUCUUCGGUAAUGGACGAAAGUCUGACCGAGCAACGCCGCGUGAGUGAAGAAGGUUUUCGGAUCGUAAAACUCUGUUGGUAGAGAAGAACGUUGGUGAGAGUGGAAAGCUCAUCAAGUGACGGUAACUACCCAGAAAGGGACGGCUAACUACGUG
rnacentral:rRNA from 1 species